CAGUGCGGUAGAGGCGCGGGAAGAAUCAGUAGCGUUUGUUGGGGUGAUGCCAAUGAGCAAGCGUAAAAGGUCUUAUCCGCCGAAGUGAACUGGCAUAUCAAAGCCACUCGCUGGGGUUGCGUUCGAAUAGGGGCAACACUGCCAUAGUCUAUUAUUUGUAUAACUAUGGAGCGCUACUGUAGGG
rnacentral:ncRNA from 1 species